CCUACGGGCGGCAGCAGUGGGGAAUAUUGCGCAAUGGGCGAAAGCCUGACGCAGCGACGCCGCGUGAGGGAUGAAGGUCCUCGGAUCGUAAACCUCUGUCAGCAGGGAAGUACGGUCACUGUGCUAAUCAGCAGUGAAUUGACGGUACCUGCAAAGGAAGCACCGGCUAACUCCGUGCCAGCAGCCGCGGGAAUACGGAGGGUGCGAGCGUUAAUCGGAAUUACUGGGCGUAAAGUGCGCGUAGACGGUAUGUCAAGUCAGGGGUGAAAUCCCCGCGCUCAACGUGGGAACUGCCUUUGAAACUGGCAGACUGGAGUGUAUGUGAGGAUAGUGGAAUUCCAGGUGUAGGGGUGAAAUCCGUAGAUAUCUGGAGGAACAUCAGUGGCGAAGGCGACUAACUGGCACAUAACUGACACUGAGGAGCGAAAGCGUGGGUAGCAAACAGGAUUAGAUACCCCUGUAGUC
rnacentral:rRNA from 1 species